ACUACGCCACUGACUUAAGGGUUCACAAUUCUAGUGGUUGCUCGGUCCUGCUUCUCUCUUCUCUCUCGCAGCUUUACUUCUCGACACUUCCUCAAGACGACACGGGGCGUUUGAUGGCACACAUCCGCGGGGCGCAGCGCCGCGGCAUCCGUACUUGGCGUGACGAGGCUGACGUCAUCGGCGCGUGCGCGCCGCGUCGGGACGGCACUGCAGAAGCAGGCGAGUUCGCGGAUGUAUCGAUUUUACGAUCGUGCCUCUUGGUGCCUCUCUCACCGUGUCAGUGCGACCGUCGUUUCCCUUAGUUUUUUAGUGGACGUGCAUGUUGUACAUGGAUAAAACCGUGAAUGGGAUUACCCGUUAGAUACGUCGCUCCGUACACCGCCCGCUGACUCGCAACUUCUCGUCAUCCUUCACCAUGACCAAGGAUAGAUUAGCAGCCCUCGUCGCGGCUCAGUCGGACGAUGACGAUGUGGCGGACGACGUGUCCGUUAACGUCGGGGCGCCAGAUGACUUUAUGACGGAAUUUUUCGCGGAGGUGGAGGAGAUCCGCGAAAUGAUAGAUAGGAUCCAGACAAACGUGGAAGAUGUGAAGAAAAAACACAGCGCCAUCCUCUCCGCGCCGCAGACCGAUGAGAAGGUGAAACUAGAACUCGAAGAUCUGAUGUCUGACAUCAAGAAAACCGCUAACAAAGUGAGGGCUAAAUUAAAGGUGAUAGAGCAAAACAUCGAGCAAGAGGAGCACACCAAUAAAUCGUCAGCAGAUCUGAGGAUACGCAAAACCCAGCAUUCGACGUUGUCUAGGAAGUUUGUCGAAGUGAUGACGGAGUACAAUCGAACACAAACCGAUUACAGGGAGCGGUGUAAGGGAAGAAUACAACGACAGCUCGAGAUCACGGGGAGAACAACCACCAAUGAAGAACUCGAGGAGAUGCUGGAACAAGGGAAUCCAGCCGUCUUCACGCAAGGGAUCAUCAUGGAGACGCAACAAGCAAAACAGACCCUUGCGGACAUCGAGGCGCGUCACGCUGACAUCAUCAAGCUCGAAAACUCCAUCAGAGAGUUGCACGACAUGUUCAUGGACAUGGCCAUGUUGGUAGAAAGUCAGGGCGAGAUGAUAGAUCGCAUAGAGUACCACGUGGAACACGCGGUGGACUACGUGCAGACAGCUACGCAGGACACCAAAAAAGCACUCAAGUAUCAAAGCAAAGCCCGACGGAAAUUGUUCCUGAUAUCGAUCUGUGUGACGAUAGCAGUCAUCAUUCUGAUAAUCAUUCUGGCAGUUAGUUUAAGUUAGCUUAAGCAUGCGCACGCGACGUUAGCGAAAAGAAAUGAACACAUUCGCAGAGUAAGUUUGACGGAAUAAAGGGAAAAAAUAGAACAAAUCGCGGGACGGGACAAGUAUUUUGAAUUGUCGAAAUAUUUGUCAUUCCUUUCUCGUCUCUCCUACAGAAAGCCAAAAUCGUAUAACAAAGAUCAACGCAGACCACGUCCAUCUUGAAUCCUCGCCGGGAAAUUCGGAUACGCAUCACGCGAUACAAUCUCGAGGUAUCAUCUAUGCAAGAUCGUUAAGUUUUUUUAUUAUAGAAUUUUACUAAAUUUUACGCGUGUUUUUACGUUUAUUAGUCGUAAAGAAUUUACUUCGCAUUCUCAUGAUUAUUCUAACUGCGGUAACCAAUGUGUUAUAUAUCGAAUGUGAUAUACGAUAAUCAAGAGCCAUCGGCAUCGUGCGGUUGUAAUUUCCCGGAAAAAAAAACGCCUCGAUGGACAUCGCGAACGUCAUAAUGCUAGAGUAGAAAUUAGAAACGGAGAUAAAACGUGCGUUAUGAAUCUGGAUUACGCGAAGCAAACUAUAACUUUAUUAGCAAAGACUUGCAAUCAAGUUCCUUUUAAUGCGCCUCAAUACAUUGGAAAACGCGUAAAAUCGCGAUAUUAAUUUUUUAUUACAUUCUUUCGAAAAAAAAAACUCUUACUGAUUGCAAGGAAAAAAUCGAUACAAGAGUUUGUAUAAAUUUGCAGAGCGACAGUUCUUGAAAUUAAAACAGAUAUAUACUUUGUAUAUAAUGCUAGUACAUAGUACUUGUACAAUUAAGUACAUUUUUACACAACAAUAUUUAUUUAAAAUGCGUGCACUGCAAGUUUGCGUGAAAUCGUAGAAAUGGAGUUAAGAAUCGUCGUGAAAAAUGAACGAGAUUGGUGUUUUUCUUUGGAAUGGAAUGGAAAUUGAUAUGCUAUCAUUAAUAGCUUUUCCUCGCAUUUAGGCGUAUCUUCGCACUGCCUUUUGUUAUUUUUUCCCCACUUUUAUUAUUCUUUCCAUUUCGUCGUUCUUAAUUCAAGCUCUGACGUGAGCAAGUAACAAUAACGGCGAUUACACAAUCGAAAAUCAUGCACGCAUGUAUACAAAAUCGAACACACGCGCCCUUUUCUAAAUCGUCUUCAGACAGAAGCUCGCCGUCGAUUUGAUACGAAGUGCAGCGACAGGAAACUGAACUAUUCGUGAUUAUCGUAUCUUUUUCUAUAUUUAUCACAAACGAAUAUGGAUCUUGAUUAUCGUGUCACUGGAGAAGAUAUUAUUAAAUAUCAGCAAUCCGUAAAACAGUUCAGAAUCACUAAAAUAGACUCAACGUAUUAUAUUUUAUAUCCAGAAUUCUCACUUUCGUAACCCCAUUUUUUUAAAUGAAUUGAAGAAAAUUAAAAUAUGAAGCGAAAAUGAUCAUAUUAAGUUUAAUUUAAAAAAAAAUCUUCGUUCGUUAAACUUUUCCAAUUUCAUAUUGGAUUUUCUCAAAGUCGAUUAAGAAAAUCUAAUUUAAUGUACGAAGCGCUUUGGGCGAACAUCUGGAGCGCAGGUACAACGAGCGCGAAAAUAUUUGACUUGGAAUUAUCAAUCUUCAUUCCUGUUGAAGAUUACACGGUAUUUGAUGUCGACGCAAAUUGUUUGUUGUCGCCGCAGAUUCGUUUAAUAUAUAUCAUUAAGUUAGCAAUACUCUUUAGAUCAGACCUAUCCAACGCUUUAUUAAGCGAACUAUAAACGCUUUCGCCUCUCGUUAAGUAAACCUUCGGUUUGCGAGUAAAAUGUUGGAUACGCCUGCUUCGAAUAAUAGACAAGACAAUUUGAAUCGGCGCGGGCGGCGCGAGUCGAGUUCGACGCUUCCGUAUUUGUCCCAGAACUGAUUGAUCGUUUCUGUGCGAAAUGUAGCAGAGACGCUAUCUUUUUCAUAUCGCAUACUGUAGUCCUCGUCUGAAUGCGAGAAUUUUGUGCUCGGUCGAGAUAUUAAUAAUCUGCGUGAUGGCGACGUGUUUCGCGAUACGUAUGUAUAUUUCAAUUAUGAAUAGAUACCGAUCACCUGAACUUUAAUCAUUACUGUCGUUGCAAUGCAGACCGCACGACACGGUAUUUAUAUGUACAAUGCCCGCAGAGCAUUGUACAUAUAAAUAAUCGUAAUUUGUAUAGAGCAGAUAAUAAUAAUAACGAGAUAACGAAAAAAAAAAAGAGUAACAAUAUUAAUCAUUAAUGCGCCUAUAGUGUGUAUGCAUGUAUGAGUACACACACACACACACACGUGUGUGUGUGCACGCGCGCAUGUGUAGUAAAACUUUUUUUCUCUUCGGAUGUAUUCAGCGUAAAAAUAAAAAAAAAAGAAACGGUUAUACAUAGAUAGGAGAACGGCGGUAUGGUAUGUCUUUUUCUCUGUCAUCUUUAUUAUAUUUGCUGCCUCGCGGAAAAGGAAACGAGAAGGAAACUGUUGGGUAGUAACAAAUCAUAGGUGCAAAUAAAAUGAGAUAUAAUGUAAUUAGCGCUGAUAAUAGAAUUGUGAAAAUAAUAGAAUUUACGUCGCGUUUUAUAAAAGAUAUAAAAAAAAAGAAAGGAACAUCAGUGCCGUUCGAUAGAGAAUUCACGGAUACCAGAUAUAAAUUUCCUCGGUGGAGAUCGCUGCUGAAGACAAGGAGAGAGAAAAGCGGAAUGAGAUAAAAUAGAAAAGAAUCUUGUUGAGAAGCUGCACGAAAACGAGAGAAAGUUCUUGGAAGAUAAUAGACAUUAACGACGUCGAAUAAUGAAGAAAUCUGCAGCUGAGAGGCAUCGUUUGCUAGUGGAGGCUUAUGGGCA